GGUCCAGAUGACAAAACAACUAAAUUUUUAUUAUUUGCUGAACAGCAGCCCCACAUACCAAUGCUGAGAUUUGAAGAGCUAAGCCGCUAGGAUGCACCCUGGGAAAAGGCUUGUGCAAUGCAGUCCUAGAAAAACUAAAACCAAAGCUGGACAAAUGAUCUUCUUUGUCUAUUCACAGCUCAAAUCCUAUAAAAGACUAUACCCAAGAGCACCAGAAAAACAACACGUGCUGAUUGUACUUCAGGAAGAGUCUCUAAAAUUGUAAAAAAGAAACUUCAAAAACAGGCUCAAGUGGUUUCUACUCCGCCAAAAUUGCUGGGCUUUAGAUUAUCCAAAAUGAAACUUGCAUUUCUGGCCAUGGAUGAUUUGACUGAGGAUUCAUGCCUUCAUUGCCUAAGGCAAUUACGGAUGGAUUUGGUACUAGAGAAGACAUCCACUUCCACCUAGUCUGGUUGAAACUCCAUGCAAUAGGAGGGCCUCUUGUGAACAAAUCAAAUCCUCUUUUUAAGGAAAUAAAAAU
rnacentral:lncRNA from 1 species